rnacentral:rRNA from 1 species
GCACCGGCUAACUCCGUGCCAGCAGCCGCGGUAAUACGGAGGGUGCGAGCGUUAAUCGGAAUUACUGGGCGUAAAGCGCAUGCAGGUGGUUUGUUAAGUCAGAUGUGAAAGCCCGGGGGCUCAACCUCGGAAUUGCAUUUGAAACUGGCAAACUAGAGUACUGUAGAGGGGGGUAGGAAUUUCAGGUGUAGCGGUGAAAUGCGUAGAGAUCUGAAGGAAUACCGGUGGCGAAGGCGGCCCCCUGGACAGAUACUGACACUCAGACUGCGAAAGCGUGGGGAGCAAACAGGAUUAGAUACCCCUGGUAG